rnacentral:sRNA from 1 species
GACCACUAUGCCUCGUAUUGUCCUGAUCGAUUGUUGAAAUUGC